rnacentral:rRNA from 1 species
GAUGAACGCUGACAGAAUGCUUAACACAUGCAAGUCGACUUGAAUUUGGGUUUUUAACUUAGGUUUGGGUGGCGGACGGGUGAGUAACGCGUAAAGAACUUGCCUCACAGCUAGGGACAACAUUUGGAAACGAAUGCUAAUACCUAAUAUUAUGAUAAUAGGGCAUCUUAUAAUUAUGAAAGCUAUAAGCGCUGUGAGAGAGCUUUGCGUCCCAUUAGCUAGUUGGAGAGGUAACGGCUCACCAAGGCGAUGAUGGGUAGCCGGCCUGAGAGGGUGAUCGGCCACAAGGGGACUGAGACACGGCCCUUACUCCUACGGGAGGCAGCAGUGGGGAAUAUUGGACAAUGGACCAAGAGUCUGAUCCAGCAAUUCUGUGUGCACGAUGAAGUUUUUCGGAAUGUAAAGUGCUUUCAGUUGGGAAGAAAAAAAUGACGGUACCAACAGAAGAAGUGACGGCUAAAUACGUGCCAGCAGCCGCGGUAAUACGUAUGUCACGAGCGUUAUCCGGAUUUAUUGGGCGUAAAGCGCGUCUAGGUGGUUAUGUAAGUCUGAUGUGAAAAUGCAGGGCUCAACUCUGUAUUGCGUUGGAAACUGUAUAACUAGAGUACUGGAAAGGUAAGCGGAACUACAAGUGUAGAGGUGAAAUUCGUAGAUAUUUGUAGGAAUGCCGAUGGGGAAGCCAGCUUACUGGACAGAUACUGACGCUGAAGCGCGAAAGCGUGGGUAGCAAACAGG